CAGGCCUAACACAUGCAAGUCGAGCGCGCCCUUCGGGGUGAGCGGCGGACGGGUGAGUAACGCGUGGGAACGUGCCCUUUUCUACGGAAUAGUCUCGGGAAACUUACGCUAAUACCGCAUACGACCUACGGGUGAAAGUGGGGGACCUUCGGGCCUCACGCGAUGAGAUGAGCCGAUGCCGGAUUAGCUAGUUGGCGGGUAAAGGCCCACCAAGGCGACGAUCCGUAGCUGGUCUGAGAGGAUGAUCAGCCACACUGGAACUGAGACACGGUCCAGACUCCUACGGGAGGCAGCAGUGGGGAAUAUUGGACAAUGGGGGCAACCCUGAUCCAGCCAUGCCGCGUGUGUGAAGAAGGCCUUCGGGUUGUAAAGCACUUUUGUUGGGGAAGAAACCGGCCGGGUUAAUACCCUGGUUGAAUGACGGUACCCAAAGAAUAAGCACCGGCUAACUUCGUG
rnacentral:rRNA from 1 species